UUCAGCUUAUUUCUUUCAAUUACCCACUGCCCGACGUAACCUUCGGUAAAAAAGUGAAACCCGUAACUCAGUCUCUCUUCUCUCUCUCUCUCUCUCUACCCCCCUAAACCCUAACUUCUACUAGCAGCUGGAUUCAUCGUCGCCGAUGACUAGGCCGUCGGUAUCUCUCUCUCUCUCUCUCUCUCUCUCUCUCUCUCUCUCCCUCCCUCCCUCCUCGAAAAUCCUAGCAUCUCUUGCUUGUUAGAUGUAGAUAUGGGUAGAUUAGAUCUGGGUUUAACUUAUCAAAAAAAAAUAUUAGAUCUGGGUUUAUGGUUUUGUUUGAGUUCAUAUCCAAUCGAUUUGUGAAUCUUGGUUGUCGUUCUAGAUUUGAACAUUUUAUGGGAUUUUUGAAAUUUCGUAUCAUAGAUUUGGUGUUGUUUUGAAUCUGGUUAUGUGGUUUGGUUGGUGCAUGUUUCGCUCUUUUGAGUAUUUUUAUCUUUUGGUGGUUGAAUCUUGCAUUCGCCUGCUGAUUAGUGAGAUUUUGCAUAUUAUGUUUUGUGGGGUUUUGUUUGAACAUUAUUACACCGCUUUGCGCUAGAACAGAUUUGGGUUUUUAACUAGUUGAUAGAAAUCUCGGUGGCCAUGUUUCCCUUUUAGAUUGUUUUUCACAGAUCUGGAUUUCUUUUUGCUAGAUCUGGAUUUUUGAUUGUUUGUUCUGUACGUGUAUGCAAGUGUCACCCAUUUCUCUCAACUUUUUAAUAACAUGUGGGUCAGAUUUUACCCAAUGGGCUCCUUCAAUAUUGGUGGCCAUGUUUCCCUUUUAGAUUGUUUUUCACAGAUUUUGGGUUUUUUGGCUAGAAUGUAACUAUAAUUUGUUUUGAUAUAAAAAAUAUUUUUAUGAGUUCUUUGAAGGAGCUUGAUCUCUAUGCUAGUGAAAUGCAUGGGUUAAGUUUGAAAACUGUGGAAUGCAUUGUCUUUUGUAGUUUUGAUUCGAGUUUUAUUUGGCAUGGUUCCUUGAACUGAAUUGUUAAAAGCUUAAACCUGAGAAUUUGGUCCUACAUUAUUGCAUUAAGCUUUCAAAUAACCCUUACUUCUUGCAUGAUCAUGUAUUUAUGUCUCUGUAAUUGUAUCUCUGUUUAUCAAACUAUUGGUGAGGUUAGAGAUAGGUUUUUGUAAUAAGGUUCCCUUUAUUUCUGUAAUAAUUUAUUGGAAUUGAUAUUUUUGUAAUAAUGACCCUCAAGAUUCUGUCAAUGGAAGUUGCUAUAUAACAGAGUAUGAAGUUGAUGGUGGUAAUAGAAGGCCACAACCUGGAGAUCUCAACUUGGUAAAGAAUAAAAGGUUGAAAGAAUUCAAAGAAAUAACCUCAGAGAGGACCCAAGAGUGCUGAAGUACUUUAGUUGCGGGGAGAGAUAAAGCAACUCUUGAAAGAAGCUGUUCUGAGUGCAUUAUUUCUUUUGAUAUUAGAUCAAAACAACAUUUCAUUGGUUUAACAUUUCAUGAUUCUUUUUUUAACCAUUAAUGGUACGUAAUUGCAUGCUUUACUUACACUUUGCUGCCCAAUGAGAGGAUCCUCAACCAGCAGUAGAUUUCUGUUUACAAGUUAAUCUGUUUUUUUUUUUUUAAUACAACUUAAUAUGCUUUAUUUUUAAAAUUCAUGCUUAUUCAGUUUCUAUUCAUUGUUGUUGGAAGAGUUUAGAUUUAUUUUUAAAGGAAUACUUUAGCAUUAAAUAAUAAUUUACCUAGUCAACCCUUUGUAAUUGAGGCUGUUGUAAUUGAUUGUAAUUUUCAUUUUUGUGUUGUAGUUGAUGCUGUUGGCAGCUUAUGGAGACUCAAUCCAG